CGGCGGACGGGUGAGUAACGCGUGGGUAACCUACCCUGUACACACGGAUAACAUACCGAAAGGUAUGCUAAUACGGGAUAAUAUACUUGAGAGGCAUCUCUUGAAUAUCAAAGGUGAGCCAGUACAGGAUGGACCCGCGUCUGAUUAGCUAGUUGGUAAGGUAACGGCUUACCAAGGCGACGAUCAGUAGCCGACCUGAGAGGGUGAUCGGCCACAUUGGAACUGAGACACGGUCCAA
rnacentral:rRNA from 1 species